rnacentral:rRNA from 1 species
UACGGAGGGUGCAAGCGUUAAUCGGAAUUACUGGGCGUAAAGCGCGCGUAGGCGGCUGGAUAAGUCGAUUGUGAAAGCCCCGGGCUCAACCUGGGAAUUGCAGUCGAGACUGUUCGGCUAGAGUGUGGGAGAGGGCAGUGGAAUUCCCGGUGUAGCGGUGAAAUGCGUAGAUAUCGGGAGGAACAUCAGUGGCGAAGGCGACUGCCUGGCCCAACGCUGACGCUGAGGUGCGAAAGCGUGGGUAGCAAACAGG